CCUACAGCGAGGCAGCACAGCGGCGAUCUGUGCGCAUUAGGGCGAAAGCCUGACGCAGCAACGCCGCGUGGGGGAUGAAGGCCUUCGGGUUGUAAACACCUUUCAGUGGGAACCAAAUUGACGGUACCCACAAAACAAGCCCCGGCCAACUACGUGCCAACACGCCGCGGUGAUACAUAUGGGGCGAGCGUUGUCCGGAUUCAUUGGACGUAAAGAGCUCGUACGCGGCUUGGUAAGUCGGGUGUGAAACCCCCAGGCUCAACCUGGGGACGCCACUCUAUACUGCCAUAGCUCGAGUCCGGUAGGGGACCACGGAAUUCCUGGUGUAGCGGGGAAAUGCCCAGAUAUCAGGCAGGAACACCAGUGGCGAAGGCGGUGGUCUGGGCCGGCACUGACGCUCAGGAGCGAAAGCGUGGGGAGCGAACAGGAUUAGAUACCCUGCUAGUCCACGCCGUACACGUUGGGUACUAGGUGUGGGGCCUUAUC
rnacentral:rRNA from 1 species